GUGAGGAAACUAGCAAUCGGUUCUUCGUUAUAUUAAGGUUGAUUAUUUCAGCUCUUCCCACUGAAAAAAGAUAGAACAUAUCCCUGGUCCUCAGAAAUUAAGUCUAGUUGGAGAGCUUUCCAAUUAAUGGCAGCGAUGGGCUGACUGUACAUGGGCUCAGUCCCGCAGUCCUGAUUUUUCAGUAUUAAAAUAGAAUAAGCUCAUUACAAGGCAAACCCACGUUUAAUGUUUUAUGUAAGUGCUAAAUAUCAAUCUUUUUGGAGACAGUUCUAAAAACAUUAAAGCACCGUGUAAAAUAAUUUUUUUUUUUUAACAGGUAGCAUCUAGCACUCCUGAGCAUCAUCCAUUUGAGCUUGGAAGACACCUCUUUUCCAUUCUCCAUACUGAUCACAAAACCAUCCCAAGGUUCAGGCAGUGAAACCAGAUGGAGGCAAGCCGAGAUUUUGAUAGUUCAGCCCCAUAACCUUCCUAUCCUUUUAUCUCAAGAAAAAAUGCUGACUUCCUCCACCCUGUCCACCUCCAAGAGGACCCAUUUAUUUUUAGAGACAGGAGGUGGGGGAAGCAGCCAGAGAGGGGGUGCUCUGACGUCAAACCCCGUCGUCGCUGCACUCCAGACCUUCCUUCUCUGGGGUGGGAGUUGGGGGGCAGCUGUUAGAGAAGGAAGGGCCCUGGGUUCCGACGGGAAUAAGCAGGUCUGAGCCUAGGCAGCACCCUCGACCCUCACAUGACCGUCCUUUCUCAGCACAUUGGAUUCUUAAGGUCAACCUCCCAUCAUCCCUCUUGUGAAAAACGUGAGCCCUCUCUAGACACAGGGCCCGAACUCUGUGCAAAUGUCUGUCCAUCUUGGAAGCACAGCGGCGUUAGGCUUCCUUCUCGCUCCUGCUCUGGGAAGAGGCACAUUACAGUGGGGGCAUCCAAGACCCUUCCUGCAGCCACAACUCUUCUGCAGCGACUGCAGGCCUCAGUCACCAGCACUCUUAAUCUGGAGAUCCUGUUUUGCUACUGAAAUCUAGGGGCAGGGGUGGAGCGAGGUGCCCCGCCUGGGUUGUUCAUCGUGUUUCUUUUUUCCUCUGAACAGCUCCAACUUCCUCUUCGUCCGCUGUGAAAGGUCUCAGCCAGCCUCGCGCCAAAAGAAAUUGCUAAUCGGGAAGCAGCGCCACCUCGUGGGGGACAAGGACAGUGCACGCAAGCCGAUGCUAUUUCCCACUGACCUAAUUGAGAGAAAAUUGAGCGUAGGACAGAAAACAUUUGAGAUUGUAAUCCUGUGCCCAGAGCUUUCAAGAGUGCAGGCAGAUGGCCAUAAAGGCCAUCUGAGCAGUCUCCUCUUUGAGCCAUUGCGAUCUAAGUGUGUUAUAAACAUCUUAAACGCAUCAGUGGUACUUUGCACUUUUCUCUGUGGUCAUUGGUUAGCACAACUGUGAAGGGUACUGGGUCUUCCUUCUCCCUAUUGUACAUAGUAGGAAUUCAGGGUGCAGAGGGGAAAAGUGCCACAGACAUGCCAGUGAUGAAAGCCAGGCCCCAACCUUAGGCUAAUGCUUACCUCCCCCACUGCUUCCUGUCCCCAAGCACUUCUCAGCAGAAUGGAGGACAAUGACUUUUUAAAACCAUAUAAAGCAAUAGGGACUGAUGAUCUUGACAGCCAUGCGGCCCCUGGAUUCCUGAGACAGGACUGGGCUAGGUCCUCAGUCAGAACGUCCCUUUUCUGUGUCUCUGUUGAAGGGUUUGGCGACGUGGGGGGAAGGAACCUUCCCAGAGGUGGGAACCUCGGGGCUCUUAGAACCAGACUUUAAGCAUGUGCCUGUCUCAGAUAAACUCGAGGAGCAGCCGCUCUCACCUACUUGCAAGGUUAUAGAGAUACACGCAUGCAUGCCCCCUGCUGGGACACCGAGUUUUGCUGUGCACAGGUUUUUAUUACCCCCAGGUGUCUUGAUAAAUUGAGCCUUCAGUGAAUAUUUCAUUAGUUUUAAGACUUCGGAAAGUAAGAAAUAAAGUAGUAGGGCAAGCAGAACAGACACAUAACUGCAAUGUUUAAAGCUCUGACAUCUGCCUAAAGAUUGUCCCUCUACCAGCCACCACUACACAUAACACUCCAAAGGCCAAGAAUGACAGCCUUUGCCUUUAGGCAGGACCAGUGGUAGUCACACCCACACUAACAUGAAUGCCAAGAAUGCUGCCAGGUUGCCAGGAGUUACUUGGUGCGAAUUCUUGCUCGGGUAUCAGGGUUGGGUCAUGUUUGCAACAUGGUAACUCAGUUGCACAUUGGACACCGUCAUCAAAUGAGUUUGCAAAGGAGGUGGCAUCGAUCAGGGCUCUGUUCUCAGCACCUACCCACUGUACACACGACCUUUCUCAGGCUUCCUACAGAACGGGGACACCAUUCAUUUUGUAGGUUAGUGAUGGCUUAGAUUUGGCAAAAUACAUACUCGGUGUCGAGCGCAUAGCACGUGCCCAAUAAAUUCUUAUGGAAGCAAACACCUUAAUGCCCUUUACAGGCCAGACACUAUUAGCUUCUUUCAGCUUCACAACAGCCCGAGGAGGUCUGUACGCUGCCUUAUGUUACCGUGGAGGAAGUAAGUGUUCAAGGACGCAGAGCAAUUAAGGGACAGGGCUGGGAUCGGAACCCAAAGCUCUUAACCACGAGGGGGGCUCCACUUCUGCUUUGUGUCCAUGUUAGUGCUCAUGUCACAGAAUCUUCCAGGCAUGUGAGUGUGAUGGCACAGGCCCUGCACAGGGAUCAGGCAAGCUGCACUCCCAGGCAGGCUCUGCCUUACCCUGUCAUCGUGAGCAACUGGCCUUCCUCCACCUUUCUCCUUGUCCGAAAGCUGAGUGUUUGGUCAGGAAAAGGUGGUGGAAGUUGAACUCAACGGUCUUAAAAUUUGGUGGCUAGAAGCUUUUAACUUUAAAUGAUUUAUCAAGGUUUUCUAAUUCUUGACCUUUACACUUAUUUUAGGUUUAAUUGAUUUGAAGUCCUUACCGGGUGUGGUCAGGAACACAGAAGCUGAAGAGAGGUGAGACUGUUCCAGGCCCUGGGACAAGCCAGGAGGGAAGGCCUCAGGUUGGUCUAAACGUCACUAGAUGGCAGCAUAAGCAGCGUUCCAGCAAGCUGCCUCCUUAGCCUUGAUCCUAAAGUUUCUAGGUUCUUCUCUACUUGUGUUGGUCAGGUUGUCAUUGGUGGACCUUUUAGUCAAAGCAUGAAGCUCCUGGACAGUCUUGUGCUGAAGGACGGGGUGAGGCGUAGCCCACAGAGGGGCCACAUAGGGUCAGCAAACCACAACCACAGCUAAGAAUGGUUUUUACAUUUUUAAAUGGCUGAAAAAGAAACAAAGGACUGAUUUUUCAUGACAUGGGACAAUUAGGUGAAGUUCAAAUUUCAGUGUCUACCGAUGAAGCUCAUUGGGCCCCAGCCACUCCUGCAAGUGUCUGUAUAGUUCUGGCUGGUAUUUCCUGCAGCGGCGAAGUUGAGCAGUUACAACAGAGGCCAUAGCCCUGAAGCCUGAACCAUGCCCUGUCUGUCUUGCUGUGGGAAAAGCUGGCUGGCCCCUGAUGGAUAGCACCCUGAUCCAACCAGGGAUGCCCCGCCAGUCUCUCAGGUCCUAACGCUCUGAGUGCAGGAAUUUGCACUCUCCUUGGUGCUGUGUCCUUAGCUUAUUGAAAUAGCACCUGGUGGGCGUAGUGCGGGGCACCUCUAGCUGUCACAGUGUGGUGACCAGUACUGGGAUCACGGUGAGGAUGGAGGUGAGCUCUGCCUGUGGAGAACUGGGGGAGGAUCCUCAAAGAAGUGAUAGUCCUUAGGGAACAGGUGAGAGAGGGCGAAGGAAACAGCAUCGUCAAAGAAGCAUUUCAGAAAAAGCACCGCUAGGGAACGUGCAGACUAGGGGAGCAAGGCCAGGUUGGGAGGGGAUGGCCGGGGUGAGGACAGGGCAGUGCAAACCCUUCCUUAUUAACCUGGGAGGGAGGCAGGAGAAAUAGGUUUGAAAGAGGGAAGUGGGAGGUCCUUUGCUGGUGCUGAACUUGUGGAGCUCCAGUGACGUCAGUCGUCCAGUGUUUGUCUCCCGGCGUGGCUUCGCGCACCUGCAGCAGAUGCACCUGAAGGGCUAAAUUAAGAGCCCAGAUGCCUCGGCUCUCCCUCCACCAACGCAGACUACAGAAGGGAAGUUCCCAAAUUUUGUUGGUGGGGAGGGCAAAGCAGAGCCCUCUAAGGAGGUUGAGCAUGAGAAUUCUGAGAUACUGGAGAAGAUAAACAGUAUGCCCUGAAGACCCCCCCAAAAAGCGUCAAGAAUAAAGCGGUCACAAUUGCCAUGUGCAGCAGAGACAAGGAAUCGUGGAUGAUAAUCUGGUCACUGGUGACUCUAAGAUGGCCCUGACUAGGGGGCAUGGAGAGCAGGAGAGGGGCCUGGGAUCAGGGCGGAGGAAGAGGCCCAGAUAGACAGAAGGAUGUGGAAAUGGAGGUGGUGCUGCAGGCAGGGUAUAAAGGGAUGGGAAGAGGAGAGGGAACUGCUGCCUCUCCUUUCUGGGUGCCAGGCACUGGGCGGAGCCCCAGCAUCCCCGAGGUGCGGCCCAUCGGACAGCACCGGGGAAGGGUCCUUCUAACGAAGCAGGACCCUAGGUUGCAGGGUGGAGGUCUGAGGCUCCACAAAGAUUUGUGCUGUUUCCCCGCUCUGGCUCAUCAAGUGUCCUCUCGGGGGCGUCCUUUCCUCCUCUCUUGUCACUGACCCAACCAGCUCUGUUAUGUCACUUAUACAGGCCUGCCUGCUGUGUCCACUGUCGGAAGUCAGGCCACAGCGGCUCUGGCCAGGGCCCGGGGUGCUGCAGCCUCCCUCCUUCCCUCCCUCCCAGCCUUCACUUUCCUGGCUCUCGGUUCUGCCCCUGGCUUCCAGGGCACAGUUCCAGGUUAAGUCCCAGGAGACCCAAACCUUGCCCACAAGUCACUAGUCACUCCCAGCAGUCAAACGAGCUGAGGACAGCAGAGCGGCCGGGCCACCAGAAGAGCUGUCUUCAUGCAGCAGCGGUGGGACAGCACUGAACUUGGUGCAGGAGCAGCCGCUGAUGGAAACUGCCCCCAGGACAGCACGAUGAGGAUUUAUAGGAACACAUGUGACAAGCAGCAGUGCACGAGAGAGUUCCUGUUGCUCCACAUCCUCAAGGGCAUUUGGUGUUGUUGCCGUUUCGGAUUUUAGUCUUUCUGGAUGGAAAAGCAUCUCCUGGCCGUGGAGGGGAAGUUCAGCUCCACGGAGGGGCUCUUCCUGCGGGUCCCCAGGCUGGUCCUCCCGCCCCACCCUCUCCUGAUGAAUCGAUGCGACAGCCUAAGGCUUCAGAAUAGCUACAUAUCUUCUCUGGAGUUAGCAUGAAAAUGUGCACAUUUCUGGCUGUAUGGAAACGCAUGGCAGGGAGGAAGCAAACUGCCCUGCAGUGCCUGUGACCCCCAAAGAGAAGAAACCGUUGUGCCAGGCUGGUUCUGAUCCCAGUCUCCUCUUACAUCAGACUACACCCAAUAGAAAGGGGAGGUGCGUUCACUGUGGAAAAGGUGGUCAUAAUUCUCGGUGGAAACGGUUGGAAAAGGCCCUGCAAGUCCAGUGAGAGUGGAGGAGUGCAGAGGGUCUCAGCACUUCGCUGCCAUCGAAGGACCCUCGGGGAGCCCGUUAAAUGCAAGCUCCAGGCCCCGCUGCACAGAAUGCCUGGGGCCUGAGAAGGGGCAUUUCGCAAACACCGAGGGCAUUCAGAAGCAUGUCGAUUUGGACAAACUGCAGCAGCCUAAAAAUUUGGAUUUAGAUCUUGACUGUUGCCCAGCAGCUAUGUAACUUUGGACAGAUACUUAAAUGCCUUAAUUCUGAUCUGUGAAAUGGGACCAAUAAUAAUGGGUUGCAGAGAUGCCGCCCUGUGCCUACCCAACCACCAAACAUGCUGAAGCGAGAGUUUGAAACACGCAAGAGCUGCUCUGAAGAUGGGAAGAGGGGUUUUAGAAAGUAUAGGAAGUCUCGCUUCUCUGCUGCUUGUUUGUUUCACUCGAAAUAGUAAUAACAAUUAGCUUUUAUGGAGUCCUAAUGUACCAGGCAUUAUCCUAAGCACUUCCAUGUAUUUAGUGCUCAAACAAGCCUAUGAAAUAGCCAAGGAAAGAUUUAGCAACUUAUGGCCACAGCUAGAAACUUGCCAAGUCGGGAUUUGAAGUCGGGACCUCAGAGUCUGGAGUUCUCCCAUCUCCUGGGGUCCUCAGCCCUUAAAAACCUGGUAAUAAACUGAGAGAGAAAAAUUGAAGCAACCACGUGGGGGGAAAAAGGCUUUGUAACUGGCUUAGGCAAAGGUUUCUUAGAUACAACUCUGAAAACAUGAUUCACAAGAGAACAGAUUAAUAAAUCAGACUUCAUCAGAGUUAAAACUCUGCUCUUUG